GCGAGCCCACAUCAUGGAUGGCGAGCUCUCAGGUUUCUCCUGGCUCGCCCUGGCAUCCCAGAACCCAGACGACCAGCGGGAUUCAUGAGCCGCUCUCAGGGGCCGGGGCAGGGGCCUCUGGCUCCCAAAGCUGGCCAAGAGGUGGGUCCCGGGGCGGGUCGCUGCUCCCGAGGCCGGGCGGGGACGCUCUGCCCCCGCCCUGCCUCCCUGUGGUCCACACCCCCUUUGGGCUCCGCAGCCUGCCGGCUGGGAUAACACAGGGUGCACGCGAGCCGGCGCUGCCAGCCCCGCUACUGCCCGGGGUUCGGGUCCCAGGUGCAGGGGACCGGGCACCUGAGUCCUCCUCGCCUGCCCCUCCUCCCUAUUCACCUGCCCUGCUCGUCCACUAGCCUUCAAGGCCAACGACUCAGCCCAGACGGCGAGGGACCAGCAGGGGGAGAGCGCACCUGAGGAUACACAGCUGGUCCUGCGCUGCCUUUUCACCCCUAGGUGAUGAGUGAGGCCAGGAGAACGCAAGAUUUAAAAAGCAACCGGGGCCUCCGUAUUGAAUGAAAGACCCACAGCGAAGGCAUCACCAUGAACACGAGCAUUCCUUACCAGCAGACUCCUUACAGUCCCCGGGGCAGCUCCAAUGUCAUCCAGUGCUACCGAUGUGGAGACACCUGCAAAGGAGAAGUGGUCCGUGUCCAUAACAACCACUUCCACAUCAGAUGCUUCACCUGUCAAGUGUGCGGUUGCGGCCUGGCCCAGUCGGGUUUCUUCUUCAAGAAUCAGGAGUACAUCUGCACCCAGGACUACCAGCAGCUCUACGGCACCCGUUGUGAUAGCUGCCGGGACUUCAUCACGGGUGAGGUCAUCUCGGCGCUGGGCCGCACCUACCACCCUAAGUGCUUCGUGUGCAGCUUGUGCAGGAAGCCUUUCCCGAUUGGAGACAAGGUGACCUUCAGUGGUAAAGAAUGUGUCUGCCAGACGUGCUCCCAGUCCAUGACCAGCAGUAAGCCCAUCAAGAUCCGCGGACCAAGCCACUGUGCUGGGUGCAAAGAGGAGAUUAAGCAUGGCCAGUCACUCCUGGCACUGGACAAGCAGUGGCAUGUCAGCUGUUUCAAAUGCCAGACCUGUAGUGUCAUCCUCACUGGGGAGUACAUUAGCAAGGACGGUAUUCCGUAUUGCGAGGCUGACUACCACUCCCAGUUCGGCAUUAAAUGUGAGACAUGUGACCGGUACAUCAGUGGCAGGGUCUUGGAGGCAGGAGGGAAACACUACCACCCCACCUGUGCCAGAUGUGUGCGCUGCCACCAGAUGUUCACCGAAGGGGAGGAGAUGUAUCUCACAGGUUCUGAGGUUUGGCACCCGAUCUGCAAGCAGGCAGCCAGGGCCGAGAAGAAGCUCAAGCAUAGACGGACAUCUGAAACUUCCAUCUCACCGCCUGGGUCCAGCAUUGGGUCGCCUAACCGGGUCAUCUGCGACAUCUAUGAGAACCUGGACCUCCGGCAGAGACGGGCCUCCAGCCCAGGAUACAUCGAUUCCCCCACCUACAGUCGACAAGGCAUGUCUCCCACCUUCUCCCGUUCACCUCAUCACUAUUACCGUUCAGGGCCUGAGAGUGGCCGGAGCUCUCCAUACCAUAGCCAGUUAGAUGUGAGGUCCUCCACUCCAACCUCUUACCAGGCUCCCAAGCACUUUCACAUCCCAGCUGGAGAAAGUAACAUCUACCGAAAACCCCCGAUCUACAAACGGCAUGGUGAUUUGUCCACAGCAACCAAGAGUAAAACAAGUGAAGACAUCAGCCAGGCGUCCAAGUAUAGUCCAGCCUACUCACCAGACCCCUACUAUGCUUCAGAGUCUGAGUACUGGACCUACCAUGGGUCCCCAAAAGCGCCCCGAGCCAGAAGGUUCUCGUCAGGAGAGGAGGAGGAUUUUGAUCGCAGCAUGCACAAGCUCCAGAGUGGGAUUGGCCGGCUGAUUCUGAAGGAAGAGAUGAAGGCACGGUCAAGUUCCUACGCGGAUCCUUGGACCCCUCCACGGAGCUCCACCAGCAGCCGGGAGGCCCUGCACACGGCUGGCUAUGACAUGUCCCUCAAUGGCUCUCCUCGUUCACACUACCUGGCUGACAGCGAUCCCCUCAUCUCCAAAUCUGCCUCACUGCCUGCCUACAGGAGAAACGGGCUACACAGGACACCCAGUGCCGACCUCUUCCACUACGACAGCAUGAACGCAGUCAACUGGGGCAUGCGAGGUGAGCACUGCAGGCUGCAGCUGCAGGGGCAGGCCAUCCCAAGACUUCCCAGAGACUCCCGAUAGAGCACUGACUGUUGCUUGACCUGCAUACCAUGGCUACCGGUUCUGUCCCCAGGAUGGGCUCUGUCUAAACCCUGAGUUCCCACUCCCUGACGCUUCCACUCUCUCCUUUUCCUACUCUUCCCUCAUCCUCUCUAGUCCCCAACCUUGUGUGCUUUCGAGGCCGUCUGUCCCAUCCGGGAUCUCAGAGCAUCUGAAAGUGCCGAUUACCCUGUAGUACUGGGCUAACGCUUCCAGUCAGACAUGGUAGAGGAGGGAAACAAUCGGAGCCAACUGCGCAGUGUUCCCAGAAAAUUCCCCAUGAGAUUCUCUGCCAGGAAGACUCUCGUGCCAAACUCCCCUGGCUGCUUGGAGUAGGCCCUGGCUCAAGUGGCCAUGACAUGGCCUCCAAGGGCCUCUAGAUGAUGGAUAUCAUGUCCCCAGGCUCCAUUGCCUCAGAUCCUUCCCCCUAUUGUGCAUAGCUCGAAGGCUACUUUCCUCACAAAACCAUCUCAAGAACAGCCAGCCCCUCCCACCUCCAGCCACCUACCAUGCUCACACCAGCCCUGAUGCUCCCCAUGAUAAACUCAGGAAGAGAGGGGUUCCCAUAGCUUAGAGCAAUCACUGUGUAGAGACCAGAUUCACAGGACACUGAGACAGAAGCCAAGGUAGUGACGUACGGCCCAGAGGCAGGUUCUGGUUGGUACAUGUCUCUUUUCUCUUUGCAGAAUACAAGGUAAAGAACACAUAGACCCUGGGGUCUCCAGGAUUCUGGGAACCACUACCUUGGGGAGCAGCAAGAGGAUGGCAGCACCAUCUAUGCAGGGAAGAAGCAUAGAUGAAAAACCUUUCAGGACUAACAUCAUCUCACCUCGGCCCAUUGUCCCCGAUUCUCCCUUAAGUCUUCUCUAACCCUUUUCCUGUCCCUAAAGACUCUAGGACACCAGAGGGCCCAACUGGGUGGCUUAACAGCCACCAGCUAUUAGAAACAUUCAGAAGGCCUUGGGCCUACAUUAAUAUGAAGUGCCACCACCAAGCUUAUCUUUAGCAACGUUAGGACACUCUGGGGACCAUGCCAACCCAAGGAGGGCAGACCCAGCCCUUCCUCCUGACUAAAUGUCUGGCCUUAGUGGAUAGAAAAAGGAGCCCAGGCUCAAACUGAAGCUGGAAGAGACAAACUUACCCCCCACACCCAAGCGAGACAUGCCCGCCUUUCUCCUUAGAUCUACCCGUAUGAGCUGUUGCUGGUGACAACAAGAGGAAGGAACCGGCUGCCAAAGGAUGUGGACCGGACACGCUUAGAGCGCCACCUGUCCCAGGAGGAGUUCUAUCAAGUCUUUGGCAUGACCAUCUCCGAGUUCGAGAGACUUGCGCUCUGGAAGAGGAACGAACUGAAGAAGCAAGCCCGGCUGUUCUAGGCGUAGGCUCUAUACAUAUAGAUGCAUUUAUAUAAAGAUGUAUGUAAAUCUCUAUCCUGACGCGCGAUAUAAUCCUCUUGUAUAAUGGGACACAACAUGCUGCCUGCCAUGAGACUUGCUUUUCUGUACUGUCAGGCGAGCCCACAUCGUCGAGGUAUUUUUAUGCUCCUUACAUGUCUUUUCUAAGUACUCUGGGACCAGGGAAGGGAUUUGAAGGGACUCCAUCCUUUUACUGGGAUCCUUUUUAUACUGAAACAUCUGUCCCACCUUGAGUCCCCAAGGUCUAACUCUCCUUUUGAAAGGUGCCUGGAGGCAUCUCUACUCCCUGCUUCAGGACCAUCUCCCAGUCUCCAGGGCUGAUGCUGACCUUGCAGUUUUCACUGUGGUCACAAAUGGGCCCUUCCGGUGGAAAGUCCACCAUGGUCCACCCAAAUCAGUGAGCACCUCGGAGGCCUCUUGAAGAAUUUUCUCCGCACCUCCAAAUAGGAGCUAAGCCGCUCUGUGGGGUGAUGCAGUUAGAUAUGUGGGCCUCAAAUCCAUUCCUUACAUCAGUACAGAGUGGAUGGGUCCUGGCCUCUCCUCAGCGCAGCAACCCCUCCUCCUUCGACCCUUGGUCCUGACCACACUCCCUCGUGCAAAUCUAGAAUUCAUGGUAGGAAAAGGAAAACGGCACUUCCCUUCCCCCUACCACCUCCAACUGGCUCCUCUCCCUGCCCCACAGUGGUCCCAGCACACACUCCCACCCUUCCGCCUUUAUAGGAGAGGCCAUUGUUGCAGCCUGUACUCUUCAGCCUUAUUACAGUCUAUGUGCCUGAUGACCUACACACCACAGGGCUAAUGUUCCCACCAUAGCUCCAGCAAGCAUCUGAGAUAGACACCCCCACCCCUGUCCAGGGAAAAUAGGCCACAGCCCAAAGAAAAAUCUUGGCCUAUGCUACUGGUCCCUCCCUAGAUGGCAAUCAUUCAUGUUGGACCCACACACACACCCAUCCCCUUGAGUCUGCUACAACAUUGGUUGCAUCUCCCAGGGGAAGCUUUUAGAAGCGUGGAUGUUGAGGGGAUUCCAGAAUGAGGCAUUGAGCAGCCCUGUUCAUGCUCUGCCCCCAGAGACCUCAGGGACUGGACUCUUUCUCUUCCUGCGACAGGUGAAAACAGAACCUUCUCUCACCACCCCUGCUACCAUUCUGAGCUGUUUACUGGUGGCCGCUCUUCCUUCUUGGAGAUGCCUGUGUGACACUCUUUGGGGGGUCAUAGAAGAAAGAUGGAGAAGUGUUAAAAAGACAAGGAUGGUGCUCGAAAUGCUGGUGAUGUGGCAUAGCAAAUGUACAGCUGACUGCAGCAAACCCUUUCUGGGCACCUGCUGAAUGCUGAGCACGGAGUGGGGGAGGGGGGAGGGGCACUGGAAUGAAUCAAAGAGGGCCCUAGUUUCAGGGGCACGUCUAGUAAUAGGAGUCCUGGUAAGACGUACCAGACAUAUCGGAUGCAAGGCAGAAAGUGAUGGACGGAGGCCUGAGAAAGGAUAUGUGAUGUUGCUGAAGGUGUGUGCAGCCAGUGCAGACCAAGGAAGCUUCUAGAAGAGAUUGCGUGUGAGCAAAACCAGGAAGGAUCUGAGGAAUCUGCGAGUUGGAAGGGUGACAGGGUGGAGGGAUUAUGAAGGAAGUCUAAUGUACUCUCAUUUAAAAAAAUGUCACCUCCCUGCAACUUCUCUUUUUGGCCAAUGUCUUUCAACUUUCCUGACCCAUUAGAAACGUCCCCAGCCAGAUGCAAUCAUUGAGAUUGCCUCAUUGUCACUGGUUAACGACUUGGGAGAUUGAAGGGCUUUUGUUAUUGUUGUUGGAUAUUUUUGUUUCCCAUAAAAGCACAUCAUUUCAA